rnacentral:pre_miRNA from 1 species
AGGAGGAACAACCACAGUGGCAGCGGCCAGCUCUGGAUCCCUGGAGUCAGCUCCUGCAGUAACCACUGAGCUCUCCGUCUGCAGGGCCUGGAGGCUCCGGGGCGGG